UACGGGGGGGGUAAGCGUUGUUCGGAAUUACUGGGCGUAAAGGGCUCGUAGGCGGCCAACUAAGUCAGACGUGAAAUCCCUCGGCUUAACCGGGGAACUGCGUCUGAUACUGGAUGGCUUGAGGUUGGGAGAGGGAUGCGGAAUUCCAGGUGUAGCGGUGAAAUUCGUAGAUAUCGGGAGGAACACCAGUGGCGAAGGCGGCGAUCUGGGUAGAUACUGACGCUGAGGUGCGAAAGCGUGGGGAGCAAACAGG
rnacentral:rRNA from 1 species